GUCUAGUAAUGGGCUGAUCUUCCCGUCCCUCUCUCCUGUUCAGAGCUUAACUUCUCCUCUUCCUGACAACAGUAUGACAGAUAGGAUUUAUUGUAAUGGUAUUGGAUGAUGGUGGUAAGUCUUCUAAACAGGAUCUCUUAUCGAUCGUCUGCUGCUCGUCAUCUCUCAGUUGGCUCGCCUGUCACAUACUAAUCUUGUACUGUGAGAAAGCAGGCUAACCAUAGAAAUAUAAUCUCUAGAAUGGAAAUCCUCUACCAGGUCAGCCAUAUUGAGUGUACCCUUUAGUUCACCAGUCACAGCCAUAGGGAGAGGUUCUAUAAACCUUCUAUGGCAAACAGGCAAACACACAGUUGUUGUGAAUAGAUGAAAUAGGGCAAACUGAUAAAUACAUAUUCUUAAUAGUUUUAUUUAUACUUUAUUCAACAUUUAACAAAUGUAACUAAACUCCAUGUUACAGUUAGUUGAAUUGUUUGGUUCCAUGCUUGUGUUUGUUUCAAACUCCAUCCAAUAUUUUAUCUUUAUCACUGACCUCAACCAAGAGUCUUUUAGAGCGUUCACAGAACAUAAAAAUACAGUAUAUGAAUCCAUAAAUACCUCAUAUAGCACUGUAGUCCACCACAAACAACUGUGACGAUUUACACACAAAAAUAGAGUAUAGUAUACUUCAUUUCAAAUUCAUAUAGUCGUUAUAUCAUUAUAUGGAUACUUAGGUGCUUUUUCAUAAACUGAAAUACAGAGCACUUCGCAUAUAGUGAUAAUCUGUGCAGGACUGUCAGCGAUUGAUCACUAUACAGUUUUCACUAUCAGCAGAGUGUGGUGUAUACAGUAUUCACUAUUAACAGAGUGGUGUAUACAGUAUUCACUAUUAACAGAGUGGUGUAAACAGUAUUCACUAUUAGCAGAGUGGUGUAUACAGUAUUCACUAUCAGCAGAGUGGUGUAAACAGUAUUCACUAACAGAGUGGUGUAUACAGUAUUCACUAACAGAGUGGUGUAUACAGUAUUCACUAACAGAGUGGUGUAUACAGUAUUCACUAACAGAGUGGUGUAUACAGUAUUCACUAACAGAGUGGUGUAUACAGUAUUCACUAACAGAGUGGUGUAAACAGUAUUCACUAACCGAGUGGUGUAUACAGUAUUCACUAUUAACAGAGUAUACUGUAUACAGUAUUCACUAUUAGCAGAGUGUACUGUAUACAGUAUUCACUAACAAAGUGGUGUAUACAGUAUUCACUAUUAGCAGAGUGGUUUAUACAGUAUUCACUAUUAGCAGAGUAUACUGUAUACAGUAUUCACUAUUAGCAGAGUGUACUGUAUACAGUAUUCACUAACAGAGUGGUGUAUACAGUAUUCACUAUUAGCAGAGUGGUGUAUACAGUAUUCACUAUCAGCAGAGUAUACUGUAUACAGUAUUCACUAUUAACAGAGUGGUGUAUGCAGUAUUCACUAACAGAGUGGUGUAUACAGUAUUCACUAACAGAGUGGUGUAAACAGUAUUCACUAUUAGCAGAGUGGUGUAUACAGUAUUCACUAUUAGCAGAGUAUACUGUAUACAGUAUUCACUAUCAGCAGAGUGGUGUAUACAGUAUUCACUAACAGAGUGGUGUAUACAGUAUUCACUAACAGAGUGGUGUAUACGGUAUUCACUAACAGAGUGGUAUAUACAGCAUUCACUAUUAACAGAGUGGUGUAUACACUAUUCACUAUUAGCAGAAUAUACUGUAUACAGUAUUCACUAUUAGCAGAGUGUACUGUAUACAGUAUUCACUAACAGAGUGGUGUACACAGUAUUCACUAUUAGCAGAGUGGUGUAUACAGUAUUCACUAUUAGCAGAGUAUACUGUAUACAGUCUUCACUAACAGAGUGGUGUAUACAGUAUUCACUAUUAGCAGAGUGGUGUAUACAGUAUUCACUAUUAGCAGAGUGGUGUAUACAGUAUUCACUAUUAGCAGAGUAUACUGUAUCCAGUAUUCACUAUUAGCAGAGUGGUUUAUACACUAUUCACUAUUAGCAGAAUAUACUGUAUACAGUAUUCACUAUUAGCAGAGUGUACUGUAUACAGUAUUCACUAACAGAGUGGUGUACACAGUAUUCACUAUUAGCAGAGUGGUGUAUACAGUAUUCACUAUUAGCAGAGUAUACUGUAUACAGUCUUCACUAACAGAGUGGUGUAUACAGUAUUCACUAUUAGCAGAGUGGUGUAUACAGUAUUCACUAUUAGCAGAGUAUACUGUAUACCGUAUUCAAUAUUAGCAGAGUGGUGUAUACAGUAUUCACUAUUAGCAGAGUAUACUCUAUACAGUAUUCACUAUUAACAGAGUGGUGUAUACAGUAUUCACUAUUAACAGAGUAUACUGUAUACAGUAUUCACUAUUAGCAGAGUAUACUGUAUACAUAAUUCACUAUUAACAGAGUGGUGUAUACAGUAUUCACUAUUAGUAGAGUAUACUGUAUACAGUAUGCACUAUCAACAGAGUGGUGUAUACAGUAUUCACUAUUAACAGAGUGGUGUAUACAGUAUUCACUAUUAGCAGAGUAUACUGUAUACAGUAUGCACUAUUAACAGAGUGGUGUAUACAGUAUUCACUAUUAACAGAGUGGUGUAUACAGUAGUCACCAUGAGCAGAGUAUACUGUAUACAGUAUUCACUAUUAACAGAGCAUACUGUAUACAGUAUUCACUAUUAACAGUGUUGUAUACAGUAUUCACUAUUAGCAGAGUAUACUGUAUACAGUAUUCACUAUUAGCAGAGUGUACUGUAUACAGUAUUCACUAUUAGCAGAGUAUACUGUAUACAGUAUUCACUAUUAGCAGAGUAUACUGUAUACAGUAUUCACUAUUAGCAGAGUAUACUGUAUACAGUAUUCACUAUUAGCAGAGUAUACUGUAUACAGUAUUCACUAUUAGCAGAGUGUACUGUAUACAGUAUUCACUAUUAGCAGAGUAUACUGUAUACAGUAUUCACUAUUAGCAGAGUGUACUGUAUACAGUAUUCACUAUUAGCAGAGUGUACUGUAUACAGUAUUCACUAUUAGCAGAGUAUACUGUAUACAGUAUUCACUAUUAGCAGAGUGUACUGUAUACAGUAUUCACUAUUAGCAGAGUAUACUGUAUACAGUAUUCACUAUUAGCAGAGUAUACUGUAUACAGUAUUCACUAACAGCUUUUCACUGAAGGUGACAGCUGGACCAGAAGGAAAUAUAGACCGCCCUCAGGACUGACUGACUGACGAAGACACCAGAACACACACACACUGAAGUACACACACUCACUGACGUACAGAAACAAACAUACACACUCUCACACACACUGACGUAGGCUAUACAUACACACAUAUCGUCACACACACACACACACACACAGCACAGACUCCAUUGAAGACCACAACGAGGCACGGCGGGACUUGGCAGUGCGACAUGGAAUGUUUUAAUCAUUGAUUCUGGAUGGUUACAGUAGUUCUGGAUAAUGCUCGUU
rnacentral:lncRNA from 1 species